GGGAACUGCCAGCGCCUUAGAGACCUGCCCGUCUGGCCCCCAGUUGCCUCCGAGCACGCAAGACCCGAGGGAGAGGCCCCCGAAGCAAAGUCCUGCUUUCCCAAGGUCUGCAGAUCUGCUCUGCUCUCCUGACGGCCAAAGGUUGCGGUCGUUGUUUUCACCAAUGGAAAUCAUCCCCCAGUGGGAGAGAGGAAGCCAUGGUGGAGAAGCAGAGAGACAGGAACACAACAGACACACGUGGAGAGAGGCUGGAAGGCAGCAGUGUCUCAGAGCGACAUAGUGGAGAUGGUCUCCAGAGCCUCAGGCCAGAGAGGGACAGUGGGCAGGGGGCCGAAGGUGGCGAUGGCCCUCAGCGUGGCUCAGGACAGCAGUGUGUACACCAGGGCAAUGCAGGGAAGCAGGCCUGGGACCCCUUGGGCAAUAAGCAGAAACUUAAAGAAGCAGACUGUCAGACCCCAUCUCCAAACUGCUGUGUGUCCCCAGGACCUCUGGAAGCUGUACAAAACCUAAACAUGUGGGCUUCCCUGGUGGCGCAGUGGUUGAGAUUCCGCCUGCCAAUGCAGGGGACACGGGUUCGAGCCCUGGUCUGGGAAGAUCCCACAUGCCGCGGAGCAACUA